rnacentral:rRNA from 1 species
UACGUAGGCAGCAAGCGUUGUUCGGAGUUACUGGGCGUAAAGGGUCUGUAGGUGGCUUGCUAAGUCAGACGUGAAAUCCCUCGGCUUAACCGGGGAACUGCGUCUGAUACUGGCGAGCUUGAGUGCAGGAGAGGAACGCGGAAUUCCAGGUGUAGCGGUGAAAUGCGUAGAUAUCUGGAGGAACACCGGUGGCGAAGGCGGCGUUCUGGACUGCAACUGACACUGAGAGACGAAAGCCAGGGGAGCAAACGGG